AAAUGAAAUCUAUGCACCUUAACUCCUCAAAUGAUCGAUGAAAUGUAUCAAACACAGAAGUCACAUGCUAUUUCAAUCCGUAGUUCUGUCACUGCUGGGCUUGGAUAUAAGUUACAAAUGGAGCAUGUACAUUCAAAUUAAAGCCAUGAGGUAAUAAUGAGACUUGGAGAAUGUGGGAGUGGAACUAUGCACCAGGGGAAGGUGCCAUUACCUAGCCUCUUGGUUGUGCGGGAAUAUGCUAAUGUAAUUGAAUAGAUUUGGUGGUGCCACCUUUUAUGGUUUGAGAUCCUCCUAUAUGGGCAAGUGUUUUGAGUAUCAUUGUACUUACAUAAAGUUGUUAAUUUACCAGGAUCGUUCCCCUGAGUAUUGAAUGUUUAUGUAGUUUGUUUACUGUCUAACCUUUUUGUUGGUUUGUUGAAAAGUAUCUGAGAACAAAUUGAUUGGUCUUGGGAAGUUGGUCUUGGGAAGUUAUUUUAAAUGGCAUAGACAUUCAGUUUGGGGAGAGGAGGAACACUCCCCUUGGACAUGGGAACAACAUUUUAGCAUUAUAUUGUCUGUCGGGUGAGUGAGAUAGCCGUCUUAUGUUGGAACUAGGUUACAUUCGAACAUUCCUUUAGGCACGAGCCUUUGCUAGAACGAUCCCGUUUAAAGUUAUUCUAAAGAUUGAAUAUUGGUAGAAAAUGGGUUUGGUGGGGGUGGACAAUAGUAGAGAAGGGUUUUUCAUUCAGGUUGAUUCAGGGUACGUUAGAGUUCUGCCUCUAAGUUUUGUUCUUAUGAAUGGUUUGGUGUUAAAAAUAAAUUAGGGAUGCCUUUUGUUACGCUUACAUGUUGCAUAACACGAUUUGCACAUGCACCACGCGUGCCUGGCUUUUAGUAUGUAUAAAUGUGUGUGAAUGGUAGAAACGGAAAAGUUUUGGUUUUAAUUACACAUUUUAGCUUUAACUGCAGCAAUGUUGUGGUUUUGAAAGGAGAAUUGGUUAAGGGACUUCGCCAUUCACAAUGUUAAGGCCUUCUUUGAUGCUACAAUUACAGUUCCAUGUUAGUUGUGCAGAAGUUUGAGUGAAAAUGCUUUAAACUCAGAAUUUCAGUAAGAUUGGUAAGUUUCAGAUUUGAGUGGAAGCUAUGAGUUGGGUUAGAGGAGAGGAGUUUGAGGAGUGAUACAUUUCGAUAAAUGUUGCUAGCGGGAUAGCAAGUUCUGUAAAUGAAAAGGAGUGGAGGGAGUAUUGAUGUGGUUUUACUUGAAUUUAAGUUCAAGCUAACAUUGCAGUAGGAGUUGGAGAGACCCUAAGAUAUGGUCACAAAUAUAGAGGGUCUAGAAGAAUGGAUUUUGUGCAUGUUUAGAUAGCGAGAUGUGACACAUGAUGGUAUGAAGCCUUAUUCAUCACACUUAACACGAUAGACAUACCCUUGCCUCCGCUCAAUGGUCUGGGUUUGGGGAUUGAUAGUUCUAGCAGACGGAAGUUGAUUCCUUUGUGGAAUCCAUUUUCUACUAUGUUAGUUGAGGAAUAUAAAGCACUGCUAGAAUUAAGUAACCUGGAACGUGCUCUUUUUUUUUUGUUUUUCCUCUUCACAAAUGUACCAUUUUUCUGUGACUAAGGCUGUCUAAAAUGUAACAUUCGCAAUGUCACAAUGAAGAAUGAAAUUUUGUCGCCACAUGGAACAAACACAUCAGUCCAAAGUCUAAGGACUUCAAGGGGUUAAUGUAAAAAGUACUUAAUGAUUGGGUGUAUCUAACAUGUUCGAUUAAAUGAUUUAGGGAAAUAUGUCUCCAUUUUUUGGUGUGAGAAGAUUGGUAUGAAUUUCUUUUCCCUCACAAUUCUUUGAUUCAACUUACACAUUCAGUUUGCACAUUGGGCUUUACUAAAUCAAAUUCUCUUCCAUUAUGCUUGCUUAUCUUGUUUUAGGAAUCGGAUGAGAAUAAGGAGGAACUAAUUUUGUUGAAUGAGCAAUUGACAUUGCAGAUGAGUAAUUUGUGGACGUGCAGAAUGUGGGCAUAUCUGUUAGGAGCAUAAGGGCGUUGAAAGUUAAGCCUGCUACCAAUAUUUACCCUGAAGUUUUGCUGCAGUGUGCUUUAUCAUAUCAGGAUUGGGAUCAAGAAGCCUUGAAGCUCAAAGGGAUCAAUACAACUAGAUUAAGAUAGUGGCGGACUAAUAAGCCAAAUUCUUGUGCAUGCUCAAAAUUGGUAUGUAGAAGUUGAUACAAAGACAUUUCGGACAGUUAUGGUGAGGAUGUUCAAACACGUUUGACGUUAGUUGUGUUUGUGGACAAAUUUUUCUAGGGAUACUCUUAGCGUUGUCUUCUAGAUAUCGCCUCGAGAUACGCAUUUUCGUUGGUGUGUAUCGAUUUGUAUUUUUAUUGGUGUUUUGGAUGGUCUUUUUUGAUUUUAUCAAGUUUUAUGCAUUUGAGUUUGUGUAUGCAAAAGUUGGGAUUGAAAAAUUAUUUGUUCUUUAUUUGCUGAUUCAAGUUAACCAUGUCAAUGGAUAUGAUGAGUUAUUAUUUUUUGCAAAGUUGAAUUUGUUGGACAAGGGGCUGAUGUAUUGCACGUGACUUCAGUAUUUAUUUGCAUGUGCUGAUUGUUAAAGCCGUAUAUUGCACACGAGUGUAGUAUUUAUUUGCAUGUGCUGAUUGUGAUCGAGCCGUGCCUUCAGGCACGAGCAUGCGCUAUUUUUAGAUAAAAAGAUAAAGUACUUCCAUGUACAUUUUUUUAAAUUUCUUGACACCAUGUUAAAAAUCUCAAUUAGUUUUUUUAUUAGGUGUCUUGAAAUUCUAAAAAUUAUACAAAGAAGUACUUUUUUUAUCCAAAAAUUAUACGUCUCUGUGUAGUGGUCUAUUUUUGCAAGAUGGAGGGAGUAAAAUAUAUACAAAAUCGUAGGCCACACGCAAUAAAUUUUCUUUAAUUUGUUUUUCUCCAAAGCAACAGUACUUAAUUAGAAUAUUCGCUAUUCUCUCUUCAGAAAUUAAGUUCAUUGUCUAAUUUUUUUUAAUAUUUGCGUUUGUUCUGGAAAUACACGUUCAUAAAUAUAUCAUAAUUCAACUCACUAUAGCACAAAAAUUAAACUCCAAUGGCUUCUCUGGUUUUCUUUGGUUCAAUAAGAAAUAGCUUUACAAGAAAAAAAAAUGAUUAUCCUGGGAUAACGCGAGGAGGUUCAUCAUAGAAUUGAACUUCUUGUGACAAUUUUCAAACCACAAAGAAACCAUAGUGUACUGUGUAUUACACAAACUGAUACAUACUCUAUUCAUACUUUAUAUUUCUUGAAUUUUUCGUAUAAUCUACAGGACACCCCUUCUACUGGAUAUAUAUAUGUGAGAUUGAACAGGACUCAAACUGCCCGCGAAAAUGGCUGAGUAAGCAGUUACUAUGGUCGGAAACUCAGAACAGCUGUGGAACUUCCGUUCAGUCUUCUGACUUCUGAAAUUGGAAACUUUUAACUUAGGUUGAGGAUUACUAACAGAAGCUUCUCCAUUGACGCGGUUUUCCAGGUAAAAUUUUCAUUUUGGAAGCAUGCUUCUGAAUUCACUUCCAUGAUUUCCGUAUCCUACUGAUGUUUUGACCUGAUUUCUCGCCUCCCUCGGGGAGAAUUUUGCAUGUUUGAGGGUAGCAUAAUACCCACAUAACUUCUCGAACCAAGCACUUCUGGAGCAGUAAGUCUUGACACUGACAAGGGUUGCAACCAUGAAAAUGAAGACGAGUAUACUCAGGACUGCACAAAUGUAACAGUAAAAGUUAUAGUAAGUAACUCGGUACUGUGAGAAAAAUAAAAAUUGGUUGGUUUAGAGUUGUGUAGAAAAUUAAAUUAAGGAUUGGUUUACACAGAAAUUAUGCCAAUAGAUGGGAUCUAUAACUUUAUAUAUUCCUUGCUUCACUCACACGAAUUCAAUUGUUAAAUAUUCAAACCAUGUGCUCUUUUAUUCCAAAAUACCCCUGCCUGCACCUCUUGUACUAAUAAAUAAUGAUCAGCAUUAAUUAAGAAACUAAUUUCUUGAUUUACUGUACCUUGUUUUUAUCAAGUACGGAGUACUAUAUUUUGGUCAAUUUUUUCGGAGUUAAAAUAGUCGAUAAUCAUCCAAAGAAAUUCACAAUGGAAAAAGAUCGAGGAGGAUGAAAAAUUUACCCUUUCCGCGUGCUGCACUGAAACAUGUGACGAAAUCUUCCCGCCGAGUCACGUCCCAAGUAAUUCCCAGUCCAAAACUAUCAUCAGCGAGAUAAGGACUGUACGAAAAUGGAAUUGCUACUGUUUUCACAGGCUUACAAGAAUCCGGAACAACCCCAAACGAUGCGACAACAUAGACAUGAUACUCGGAUCCACUCAUACAUGGAACUUGCACGAAGGGACGUGGAAGUGGAGCAGAGCAAUUGAGGUACGUGUAGUAUUUCAGAAUGUAGUAGUAAUGGAACGGGGUUCGAGAGAGAUCGAGGUUUAGAAAGACUUGAUGGACACAAUUUUCGGGAUCAAGGAGACUCAGUCUUUUGGAAUCAUAAGAGAUGGAUUUGACAACCAAAUCCCCAUAUGAUGGAAAAUGGAUUGUGGUUUUGUUUUCCUUGCAAAGUAGUUUGAAACCAGGGUAGCUGCAAUUCUGGGUCUGAAGCCCUUUGAUUGAGAAAGGAAACUGAAUUUCAGGGCCAUUUGGGAAACACUUAGCCGGUGGACAAUUCUUAUCUAUGGCUUCUGUAUUUAGGAAGAUUGAGGAAAAGAGGAGGAAGAAGAUGAUGAUGAUAGCCAUUAGAUAUCAAUAUCAAAUGACACAAGCUUAGUAAGAGAGAGAGAGAGAGAGAGAGAGAGAGGUGAUAAGCACAAAUGACUGAAUGAGAUACGCUAGCCCUGAUGAUCCCUGAAGUUUUUUACAGAAAAAAGUCAAACCAAUACUCUGCAGAGGGCAAUGCUAGGUAAA